AUACGGAGGGUGCAAGCGUUAUCCGGAAUCAUUGGGUUUAAAGGGUCCGCAGGCGGAUUAAUAAGUCAGUGGUGAAAUCCUCUCGCUCAACGAGAGAACUGCCAUUGAAACUGUUAGUCUUGAAUUCGGUCGAAGUAGACGGAAUGUGUCAUGUAGCGGUGAAAUGCAUAGAUAUGACACAGAACACCGAUAGCGAAGGCAGCUUACUAGACCUGGAUUGACGCUCAUGGACGAAAGCGUGGGGAGCGAACAGGAUUAGAUACCCUAGUAGUCC
rnacentral:rRNA from 1 species